rnacentral:rRNA from 1 species
UGCAGUCGAGCGGAACGAUCCUAGCUUGCUAGGAGGCGUCGAGCGGCGGACGGGUGAGUAAUGCAUAGGAAUCUGCCCGGUAGUGGGGGAUAACUUGAGGAAACUCAAGCUAAUACCGCAUACGCCCUACGGGGGAAAGCAGGGGCUCUUCGGACCUUGCGCUAUCGGAUGAGCUUAUGUCGGAUUAGCUGGUUGGUGAGGUAACGGCUCACCAAGGCGACGAUCCGUAGCUGGUCUGAGAGGAUGAUCAGCCACAUCGGGACUGAGACACGGCCCGAACUCCUACGGGAGGCAGCAGUGGGGAAUAUUGGACAAUGGGGGCAACCCUGAUCCAGCCAUGCCGCGUGUGUGAAGAAGGCCCUCGGGUUGUAAAGCACUUUCAGCGAGGAAGAAUGCUUGUCGGUUAAUACCCGGCAAGGGAGACAUCACUCGCAGAAGAAGCACCGGCUAACUCCGUGCCAGCAGCCGCGGUAAUACGGAGGGUGCGAGCGUUAAUCGGAAUUACUGGGCGUAAAGCGUGCGUAGGCGGCUUGAUAAGCCGGUUGUGAAAGCCCCGGGCUCAACCUGGGAACGGCAUCCGGAACUGUUAGGCUAGAGUGCAGGAGAGGAAGGUAGAAUUCCCGGUGUAGCGGUGAAAUGCGUAGAGAUCGGGAGGAAUACCAGUGGCGAAGGCGGCCUUCUGGACUGACACUGACGCUGAGGUACGAAAGCGUGGGUAGCAAACAGGAUUAGAUACCCUGGUAGUCCACGCCGUAAACGAUGUCGACUAGCCGUUGGGGUCCUCGAGACCUUUGUGGCGCAGUUAACGCACUAAGUCGACCGCCUGGGGAGUACGGCCGCAAGGUUAAAACUCAAAUGAAUUGACGGGGCCCGCACAAGCGGUGGAGCAUGUGGUUUAAUUCGAUGCAACGCGAGAACCUUACCUA